rnacentral:lncRNA from 1 species
GUCGAAGCACAUCGACGUACAGCAUCACAUAGUGCGUGAUAGGGUGAAUAGCGGUGAGGUGCAGUUGGAAUACUGCCCUACGGAGUGGAUGGUUGCGGAUGUGCUCACGAAGGCUCUGGGCGAGGUGAAAUUCAAACGUUGCCGAGAUGCGAUGGGCCUUGUGUGAAGCGUGCUGAUGAACUUGGUACUCGUUGGGAUACGGCCCGAGGGGGCGUGUUGAGGAAAUGGUCCUCUCCCAACUCGUGUGGUUGUCGACCAGGGGAUUUGACCCCGGGUCUGCGCCUGACUAAUGGGGAAGACUUACCCCAGAACCUUAUGGGGCUACCGAUGCAUAUCCGGUAGCUAAGUGAUAGACAUUAGGGCACCGUCUGGACGGCGCAGUGAGAUCGCGGAAUGUACGUGCAGUUAGAUCGCGGAAUGUACGAGUUUUCCGCUAGCGCCGGUAUUUAGGGCGGUGACUGCGCCUAUUAGUUUAUCUCACAACGAUCGGUAUUCCUACCAGGAAUCUCCUCAAGUCCUGCCGAACGCUAACAAUACUCUUUACAUUACUUGUAACAGUUUAUCGUGCUAAAUAUCUUCGCUACCGGCAAUCCUUCCGGAAUAACAAUCAGCGUUAGCUGUCACCGUCGCCAAUUCUUCAAUAGGUUAUGAGCCCCGCUUAGCGCCGACAGCUAUCGCUCAAUUGUUAUUUCUAUCCCUCAUCAACAAUGGUUAAGGACAAGCUUGAUGAGUCGCUGGAUCUCAACAACUACUCUACCUGGCAAAUUCGGUUCAGCGCGUUGUGCAUGGAGCUUGGGCUUGAGCAAUCCCUGCUCGCCGAGCCGUGCAACGAGGAGCAAAUUCGACAGUCACGGAAGGUCAUCAAUCUGCUCAUCAAGAACGUCAAGGAUCAUCAUUUGCCGAUGGUUACCGGUGCUGCCAACGCGAAGAAGGCCUGGGACGCCUUGGGAUCUAUGUUUGCUGCCAACAACAACGCCCGCAAGGUGUCUCUACGUCAAGAAUUCAGCCGUUUUAAAAUGGUCGACGGCGAACCUCUUCCGAUGUACUUUGCGCGUGCAAGGCAGCUGCAAACAGAUUUAUUGGGAGUCGGCCACGUAGUUAACGACUCCGAGCUGGCGUACACCGUGCUAGUUGGUCUACCCAGUCGGUACAGCGUGGUGACGACUACAUUACUUAUGCGCGACGGCGAUUUGGACAUGGCGAGCGUCACAGCAAAGCUUCUCUCUAUCGAGACGGCUAACGGUGGGUCGGGCAAGCCUACCGAGUCGGCAGCCUUCGCGUCUGUCGGCGGUUCGACGUUCGGCGCUUCUACUUCUGGUUAUGGUAGCCGGGGGCCGGCCAACAACAGCUCGGGACAUAGUCGGAAGCAAGUCAUCUGCUACUACUGUAAUAAACCUGGGCACGUGGUUAAGGACUGCAGGCAGCUUAAGGCGCUGAAGCAGUCGUCAAAUUCUGGCUACAAGGGUGGCUACAGCAACAGUGGUAACGGAGGUAGUGGCAGCGGAGCUAGCGGCAGCAAGCCAGGAUCCGGUGGAUCAGCUAGGAGGCCAGGAGUUCCGCGGCAGGUAGCAUUCGUGGCAUACAACAGCAAUCGUCCGACGGAAUGGUUUCUGGACUCAGCCGCCACUCACCACAUAACGUAUGACCGCUCAGAACUUUCCAACGUGCGGUUGUUGGAGCCGUGGGAGCGCUUCAACAUAAUGGGCAUCAAGGGACAAUCUCUUCGACCGACUGAAGUUGGCACGCUUACGAUUCGGUCUAACGUCAACGAUAAACAGGCCAUCACUUUCAAGAAGGUCUACGUCGACGAGGAGGCCACCGCCAAAAUCAUAUCGGUCCGCAUCAUUGAUGAUCGUGGAGGCAGUGUGGUCUUCGGCGGCGGACAGGCGAAAGUAUACGUACAGAAUCAGUUGGUGCUGACUGGAAAGCGGGAUGGGGACUUGUAUCCCGUCUGCUACAGCAGUGGAGGUACGGGAGCUCUGAAGAGGACGCAGCGUGAAGACAACAGGAUACCUUCUGGUGGUGAUGCAGUGUGUGCUGCCGUGGGUAUCGGAGCUGAACGUGCAGCACUUUGGCACCGAAGGUAUGGCCACUUGGGAUACAGCAACCUUGAGACGUUGCUGCGUCAUAAUAUGGUAGCUGGAUUUGAUGUUGACCGACACAGCAUACAAUCAGCCAGCACGUGUGUGUGUGAGACUUGCGUCCUUGCUAAACAUACACGUGGUCCUUUUCCGUUAUCUGGGCAUAAGGCAGCGCAGCCUCUCGCGCUCAUUCACAUGGAUGUGUGUGGGCCUAUGCCUGAACCUUCGCCUAGUGGUUCGCGUUACGUGACAACCCUGCUUGACGACCAUACUGGUCUUUCAGCUGUUGCGUUUACAGCGACCAAGGAGGAGGUCUACCAGAAGAUGGUGGUAAUGAUAGCGGAACUGGAGCGCGCUACUGGCAGGCAGGUUAAGGAGGUGCGUACAGAUCGUGGCGGGGAGUUCGUUAAUACUCGCACGAAGGCCUAUUUCGCUUCCAGGGGUAUUCUACACGGAACUACGGUAGGCUACACUCCUGAACAGAACGGAGCUGCAGAACGUUUAAAUCGCACUCUUUUGGACAAGACUAGGGCUAUGCUAGUUGAGUCUGGACUGCCUAAAUCAUUAUGGGCGGAGGCGUUAGCGACAGCCAACUAUCUUAGGAAUGUGUCGCCAACUGCUGGGUCAACCGUCACUCCGUACGAAGCUUUCUUUAACGUUCGUCCGAACGUCAGUCACCUGCGAGUCUUUGGAUGCGUUGCCUACGUUCACGUACCCGACGUCAAGCGCGACAAGUUCGACCCGGUGAGCAGGCGUGGAAUACUUGUAGGAUACGGGAACGGUGGACAGUAUCGUGUACUAUACGAGGACGGCAUUAUUGCCGUAGUUUCUAACGUUCGUUUUGACGAGUCUAUUGUCGGCCGGCGGCGUAAUGCCGGGGACUCCGAUUAUGAGUCCGAUGCCGACGAGGAGGAGGAGUUUCGCACUAGUUUAUCUGGUGAGGGAUCGCUGCCUAGGGCUGGCGAAGGGACACCAGGUAGCACCGUCGGCGAGGGAUCGCCACAUUUGGGUGGCGAGGGGGCGCCGGCUGGGGUUGGACCUUCCAGCAGUGCGAACGGGCAAGGAAUCAAUCAGCCUGAUGUGGAAAUGGCGGGAACUAGGUACCCAGUUAGAGAGCGUAAACGCCCUGGCGAAUGGUGGCGAAACGAACCUGGUCGCACUGUCACUGGUCGCGUUAACGCUGCUUUCUCUGCUGGUAUUCCUGAGCCUAAUUCGUUUGAGGAAGCAAUUGCUAGUCCACAUGCAGACGACUGGCGGCGUGCGAUGGACGAGGAGAUCGCCGCCCAGAUGGCUAACAGUACUUGGGAGCUGAAGACGCCACCUCCUGGUACUCGUUUGUUGCCGUGUCGUUGGGUAUAUAAGGUUAAGUACAGCGAUGACGGCAGCGUGGAGCGUUUUAAGGCGCGUUUAGUUGCCAAGGGUUUCGAGCAACGUGAGGGGAUUGAUUAUGGGGAGUUGUUUGCCCCUACCUCUCGUGGUUCGUCAUUGCGUGCUUUAUUAGCAGUUGCCGCAGCCCGGAACAUGACGGUACAUCAGCUCGAUGUGUCUACUGCGUUUCUGAAUGGUGAGCUGAAGGAGGAGUUGUGGAUGGAGCAACCGCCUGGGUAUGCAUCCAGUGACCGGUCGCUUGCGUGCAAGCUGCAGAAGUCUAUUUACGGUUUAAAGCAGGCACCCCGUUGCUGGUAUGAAAAACUAUCAGCAGAGUUCGCCAAGUUGGGUCUUUAUCCUUCGAAGUCUGAUCCGGCGAUGUUCGUUAAGACUGACGAGCGUGGGGUUGUUAUUGCUUUGGUGCACGUAGAUGAUACAAUUGUUGCGUCGGAAGACCCAGAAAUGGUCCGGGCAAUUAAAGCCGCAAUUGCGAAGGUCUUCAAGGUGCGCGACCUUGGAGAAGCGAAGGUGUUUUGGGGCAUGGAAAUUAGGAGGGAGAAGUCGGGUGAGAUAGUGUUGUCACAGCAUAGGUAUAUUGCGCAGCUGUUGGAGCGUCAUAGGAUGAUUGACGCCAAGCCGAGAUCUACCCCUUUGCCUCCGGGCUUUAGGUACACUCCUAAGGGGGACGGAGAGGAGCUGCUGGGCAAUCCCACAGAGUAUAGGGCUUUGGUGGGAGAAUUGAACUAUCUGGCGACGAACACGCGGCCUGACAUUUCAUAUGCAUUAAGCGUUUUGUCUCGGCAUAUGGCCGCACCCACGAAGUGUGCCAUGAACCUGGCAACUGGCGUUCUGCGUUACCUGGCGGGGACUCGCGAACUAGGAUUGCGUUUUGGGGGUGUUGGCGACGUUGCUAUGUCCGGGUACAGUGAUUCGGACUGGGCAGGAGACCCAGUUACGCGGCGUUCUACGUCCGGUUACGUAUUCACUCUUAAUGGGGCUGCGAUUAGCUGGAGCAGCCAACUUCAACGUACUGUGGCGGCUUCGUCGGUGGAGGCUGAGUACCAAGCUACAGCGGCGGCUGUUCGUGAGGCUUUGUGGCUUCGCAAGCUGAUGGUUGAUUUGAGCUUGCCUGAGAGCGCGGUGAAAAUCCAGAUAGACUCCCAGGGGGCGCUUAGCUUGGGAAACAACCCGAUUACGUCUGCUCGGUCGAAGCACAUCGACGUGCAGCAUCACAUAGUGCGUGAGAGGGUGAAUAGCGGUGAGGUGCAGUUGGAAUACUGCCCUACGGAGUGGAUGGUUGCGGAUGUACUAACGAAGGCUCUGGGCGAGGUGAAGUUCAAACGUUGCCGAGAUGCUAUGGGCCUUGUGUGAAGUGUACAGAUGAGCUUGGUACUCGUUGGGAUACGGCCCGAGGGGGCGUGUUGAGGAAACGGUCCUCUCCCAACUCGUGUGGUUGUCGACCAGGGGAUUUGACCCCGGGUCUGCGCCUGACUAAUGGGGAAGACUUACCCCAGAACCUUAUGGGGCUACCGAUGCAUAUUCGGUAGCUAAGUGAUAGACAUUAGGGCACCGUCUGGACGGCGCAGUGAGAUCGCGGAAUGUACGUGCAGUUAGAUCGCGGAAUGUACG